rnacentral:rRNA from 1 species
GAAACUAAAUAGGAUUUCCAUAGUAACGGCGAGUGAACUGGAAUUAGCCCAUCACGAAAUCUAUUGCCUUUGGCUUUCGACAUGUCGUGUAUAGAUUUGAUUUUGGUUUUGCAUAUCGACAACUAAAUGUAUUUAAACAUACUGCCAUAGAAGGUGCUAGCCCUGUAUGUUGUUGAUUGUCUCAAUCCACUGAUCUUAUCUUAGAGUCGUGUUGCUUGGAAGUGCAGCACAAAGUUGGUGAUAAACAUCAUCUAAGGCUAAAUAUUCCCAUGAAUCCGAUAGCGAACAAGUACUGUGAAGGAAAGUUGCAAAGCACUCCGAAGAGAGAGUUAAAGAGGACGUGAAACCGAUACGAUGGAAGCGUACAAAGCCAGUCGCAGUUUUAUUUUUUUUAAAAAUGAUUCUAAGCAUGAGAACUUUGGUUGUUUAUUUGUAAAGUCAUUUAGGUCGACAGUCUCGGUUGUUAGUUAAAUGACGAUAACUCUUAAUCAGCUAAAGCAUCAUUCAUCUGGUGAUGAUUGGUUGGAAUUUAUGUUUUCUUUUGUAUUGCACAUGUGUAAUGCUUUUCUAAAUAUGAAUGAAGGCUAAUUUAUCCAGGUUGACUCUUAUGUAGUCCUGGUAUGUUGUACGAAAAAAACUUGAA